UCACAAAAAUAGUCAAGUUCUAAUCGAUACAAGUGAAUACAAGCUAUCAAAGCUGUUUGAAACUCAAUUCGAUACAAAUGAAUGCUCACUAUCAAAGCUAUAUGAAACUCAAUUCGAUACAUGAGAAUAGUAUAAGUUCAAAGCUAUAUGAAACUCAAAAUUGGUAUAUGAACCACAUAAAUCGAUCUCAAAUAAACAUACAUGUCAAAAAGAAGCCAUUGAAAUCUUCGAGAAACGGAUAGCGAAAGCCCCAAUUCGAAACCCGUAAAUCUCAGAAACCCGAAAAUCAAACCCUAAAUGUGAUUAAAACCCCAAAUCGAAACUCAAACAAGACAAAUUUCACAAUGCAAACCCUAAAUCGAUUACAAAAGAAACAUAACCUUCUCAAAUUAGAACCAGAUCUGUGACUGAGAAGCUGAAGAGUACCAACCUGAAGAGUCCAUAAAAUUUGAUGUUUUGGGUUUUUCACACAAAUUAAAAAAAGUAACUUUUGUAUUAUUUAUAUUAUUUUUUUUGUAAAUUUAAUAUCAUAAGUUUUACUUCUCUCCACUCUAUUUGUUAUUAUUAAAAAUAAUAAUAAUAUUAACUUACAUCAAUUUUUAUGGAACAAAA
rnacentral:sRNA from 1 species